AUUGAACGCUGGCGGCAUGCCUUACACAUGCAAGUCGAACGGUAACAGGUCUUCGGAUGCUGACGAGUGGCGAACGGGUGAGUAAUACAUCGGAACGUGCCCGAUCGUGGGGGAUAACGAAGCGAAAGCUUUGCUAAUACCGCAUACGAUCUACGGAUGAAAGCAGGGGACCGCAAGGCCUUGCGCGAACGGAGCGGCCGAUGGCAGAUUAGGUAGUUGGUGGGAUAAAAAGCUUACCAAGCCGACGAUCUGUAGCUGGUCUGAGAGGACGACCAGCCACACUGGGACUGAGACACGGCCCAGACUCCUACGGGAGGCAGCAGUGGGGAAUUUUGCACAAUGGAGGAAACUCUGAUGCAGCGAUGCCGCGUGAGUGAAGAAGGCCUUUGGGUUGUAAAGCUCUUUUGUAGGGGAAGAUAAUGACUGUACCCUAAGAAUAAGGUCCGGCUAACUUCGUG
rnacentral:rRNA from 1 species